rnacentral:rRNA from 1 species
AGAAAAUAGGAGGAAUAGUUAAUUUUUUUUAUAUAUAGGUGGAAUUUGUGUAUAAAAGGUUAAACCUUACUUUUCUUCUCUUUGAUGCCAUGAAAAUUGAGGUGUAGACCGGGAUUAGAUACCCCGCUAUUCUUUUUAGUAAAUUUUGAUUGUUACAAUUUACCAGAGUAUUACGAGCUGUUGAAAAAUAACUUUUGCUUAAAACUCAAAAAACUUGGCGGUGCCUUAAUUCUUUCCAGGGGAACCUGUUCUGUAAUCGAUAAUCCACGUUUUAGCUUACUUUUUUUAGACUAUAGUAGUAACUCAGCUUGUAUACCGUCGUCGUCAGAUUACCUUUAAGAGAAUAAGAAGUUAUCAAAUUAAAUAGAUCUAUGACUACUGUAGUAUAGAUUUCUUGUGAUGUCAGAUCAAGGUGCAGCUUAUAAAAAAGUAGAAAUGGGUUACAUUAAAUAUUUUUUAUGGAUANUAGACUGUAAAGUCUAAUUGAAAUUGGACUUGGAAGUAAUAUAUUUAUUAAUAUAUAAGAAAGAUUAUAUGAAUUAUAGUACUGGGGUGCGC